UGGGGGAUAUUGCACAAUGGGCGAAAGCCUGAUGCAGCGACGCCGCGUGGGGGAUGAAGGCCUUCGGGUUGUAAACUUCUUUUGCUCUGAACAAGGCAUGCUAAUGGGUGUGUUGAGUGUAGGGGUUGAUUAGCGCCGGCUACCUACGUGCCAGCAGCCGCGGUAAUACGUAGGGCGCAAGCGUUGUCCGGAAUUAUUGGGCGUAAAGGGCUUGUAGGUGGCUGGUUGCGUCUGUCGUGAAAGCUCAUGGCUUAACUGUGGGUUUGCGGUGGGUACGGGCUGGCUUGAGUGCAGUAGGGGAGGAUGGAAUUCCUGGUGUAGCGGUGGAAUGCGCAGAUAUCAGGAGGAAUACCGGUGGCGAAGGCGGGUCUCUGGGCUGUUACUGACACUGAGGAGCGAAAGCGUGGGGAGCGAACAGG
rnacentral:rRNA from 1 species